GGGGCAGAUGGGUGCUGGUGUGCCCUGCGGUCUUCAAAACCGUUGCAGGUAGUGAUUGCUGCCUGGGUGGGUUCGAUUCCCACAUGCUCCC
rnacentral:tRNA from 1 species